UGGGGAAUAUUGCGCAAUGGGGGGAACCCUGACGCAGCCAUGCCGCGUGAAUGAAGAAGGCCUUCGGGUUGUAAAGUUCUUUCGGUAUUGAGGAAGGUUGAUGUGUUAAUAGCACAUCAAAUUGACGUUAAAUACAGAAGAAGCACCGGCUAACUCCGUGCCAGCAGCCGCGGUAAUACGGAGGGUGCGAGCGUUAAUCGGAAUAACUGGGCGUAAAGGGCACGCAGGCGGUUAUUUAAGUGAGGUGUGAAAGCCCUGGGCUUAACCUAGGAAUUGCAUUUCAGACUGGGUAACUAGAGUACUUUAGGGAGGGGUAGAAUUCCACGUGUAGCGGUGAAAUGCGUAGAGAUGUGGAGGAAUACCGAAGGCGAAGGCAGCCCCUUGGGAAUGUACUGACGCUCAUGUGCGAAAGCGUGGGGAGCAAACAGGAUUAGAUACCCUGGUAGUCCACGCUGUAAACGCUGUCGAUUUGGGGGUUGGGGUUUAACUUUGGCGCCCGUAGCUAACGUGAUAAAUCGACCGCCUGGGGAGUACGGCCGCAAGGUUA
rnacentral:rRNA from 1 species